GGACCCACUGGUGACACAGGCCCUGAAGAGCUGUAAUGGCUGCCGCCCCCGAUGGCAGUCCUAAUAUCAUCAGAAGACUUGGGGAAGGGCAUACAGAAAGGAAAUACGAAAGGGAAGAAAGGAAUAUACUCGAUCUGUUGUGUCUUUUGACUUGGAUUCAUGGGUUUCCAGACCAAAACAGAAA